rnacentral:rRNA from 1 species
UGUCUCAAGACUAAGCCAUGCAUGUCUAAGUAUAAACGCUUCUAUACUGUGAAACUGCGAAUGGCUCAUUAAAUCAGUUAUAGUUUAUUUGAUGGUUUCUUACUACUUGGAUAACCGUGGUAAUUCUAGAGCUAAUACAUGCACAAAGUCCCGACUCUUCGGAAGGGAUGUAUUUAUUAGAUCCAAAACCAAUGCGAGUCUCUCGGGGCUCGGUUCCUUGGUGAUUCAUGAUAACUGCUCGAACCGUAUGGCCCUUGCGCCGACGGUGCUUCAUUCAAAUUUCUGCCCUAUCAACUUUCGAUGGUACGGUAGUGGCCUACCAUGGUUGCAACGGGUGACGGAGAAUUAGGGUUCGAUUCCGGAGAGGGAGCCUGAGAAACGGCUACCACAUCCAAGGAAGGCAGCAGGCGCGCAAAUUACCCAAUCCCGACUCGGGGAGGUAGUGACAAUAAAUAACAAUGCCGGGCUAUUGUAGUCUGGCAAUUGGAAUGAGUACAAUCUAAAUCCCUUAACGAGGAACAAUUGGAGGGCAAGUCUGGUGCCAGCAGCCGCGGUAAUUCCAGCUCCAAUAGCGUAUAUUAAAGUUGUUGCAGUUAAAAAGCUCGUAGUUGGAUUUCGGGGUGGCCUGCCUGGUCCACCGCAAGGUGAGUACUGGUCAGCCGCCCUUCCUCUCGAAAGCCCCGACUGCUCUUUACUGCAGUGGUCGGGUAGUUCGGGACGUUUACUUUGAAAAAAUUAGAGUGUUCAAGGCAGGCUAUCGCCUGAAUACAUUAGCAUGGAAUAAUGGAAGAGGACCUCGGUCCUAUUUUGUUGGUUUCUAGGGCCGAAGUAAUGAUUAAGAGGGACAGUUGGGGGCAUUCGUAUUUAAUUGUCAGAGGUGAAAUUCUUGGAUUUAUGAAAGACGAACUAGUGCGAAAGCAUUUGCCAAGGAUGUUUUCAUUAAUCAAGAACGAAAGUUAGGG